AGGGGGGGAAGACUGUCGCUGGCAGAUCUGUUCUGCAUGUGCACGUCGACCCCUCUUUCUUGUCCACACCCACACACCUGUGCACCCCUUGUAGGUUCCCUUGUGAGAGGGAACCUAUGUCAUUUUCUCAUCACACCUGUCCAUAGAAUGUAUUGAGAACGUCGAUCAACUCCGGUUGGUGGGCGGUCGAUAAAUAAAAUACAACUUUCAGCAACGGAUCUCUUGGCUCUCGCAUCGAUGAAGAACGCAGCGAAUUGCGAUAAGUAAUGUGAAUUGCAGAUUUUCAGUGAAUCAUCGAAUCUUUGAACGCACCUUGCGCUCCUUGGUAUUCCGAGGAGCAUGCCUGUUUGAGUGUCAUCGAAUUCUCAACCAUGUCUUGAUUGACUUGACUUGGCUUGGAGUUGGGAGGAUUUUGCUGGCUGUCGAAAGAUGGUCAGCUCUCCUGAAAAACAUUAGCGAUGGGGCGGUCGAGUCUCUCGACGUGCACGGCCUUUGACGUGAUAAUGAUCGUUGGGGCUGGAGCAUUUUGGAGAUGAGGCGACUCAAUGCUUCCAAAUCGAUAGGACGAGCUUUGGUCCGAUCUACUAGUCAGACCGAAGCAAGUGCUUUCGUUUCGAAACUUGACCUCAAAUCAGGUAGGACUACCCGCUGAACUUAAGCAUAUCAAUAAGCGGAGGA
rnacentral:misc_RNA from 1 species